rnacentral:rRNA from 1 species
AGAUGCGAGAGUAGAGCAUAUCAAUAAGCGGAGGAAAAGAAACUAACAAGGAUUCCCUUAGUAACGGCGAGUGAAGCGGGAAGAGCUCAAAUUUGAAAUCUUAAAGGGUUUUCCCUUGACGAAUUGUAGUUUAAAGAAGUGUUUUCUGUUGAAGUUUUCGGUAAAAGUUCUUUGGAAUAGGACAUCAUAGAGGGUGAGAAUCCCGUAUUUGACCAGUUAUUUUCCAGCUGUGUGAUACACUUUCAAGGAGUCGGAUUGUUUGGGAAUGCAGUCCAAAAUGGGUGGUAAAUUUCAUCUAAAGCUAAAUAUUGGCGAGAGACCGAUAGCGAACAAGUACCGUGAGGGAAAGAUGAAAAGAACUUUGAAAAGAGAGUUAAACAGUACGUGAAAUUGUCAAAAGGGAAGCGUUUGACACCAGUGUUGUUUUCUCGAAAAUCAAUUAAAAAUAACUGGAUUUUGUGUUGUAUUGACUUUAUCAAGCUUUCUGCACUUUUUUCUUAUCUUUUUUAAUGCACUUUUCGUUUAACAAGUCAACAUCAAUUUCUUUUGUUGUAAAAGAGUCAUUGGAAGGUGGCUUUUUCUUCAGAAAAAGUGUUUAUAGCCUUUGGCUUCUGCAAUCGGAGAGAUUGAGGUCUGCAGCGUAGAUCCUUCGGGGUUAGAUACAUUUGUGCUAAGCUAUAGUUCUUUAUAGACAACUUGUUGACUAUAAUCAAUCCUGUAACUUACUCGCUUAUGCUAUUUUACCUACGCUUAGGAUGUUGACACACGCGCGUGCUCG